AUGCUGCCAGCAGCGCCAGCCUGGGCGCGCGGGAGUUGCGAGCAGCCUGCAGGCGGCCCAGCGCCCCCAGGUUCUGCGGACUACCUGGAGAUCACUGUGCCACCAGACCUAAGAAAGGAACAAUCCGGGCAAACCAAUGAGAGAAAGGAAGCUGGAGAGUUCUUAGAAGCUUCAGGAAGCACCAUACCACAGGCAGUGGUGCUUCCUGCUGAGAUUCCAUGUGAGAAUCCUGGUGAAAUAUUUAUUAUUUUGAGAGAUGAAGUAACCAGUGAUGCUGUGGAGGUUGAAUUUACAUCAAAUAGUAAAUGCAUUAGAACACAGCCAGCCCUCUGGAAUAAAAGUGUCUGGAGUAUGAAAGCUUUAGAUUUUCCUGCUGGCUCUGUCAAUGUUGAUGUCUACGUUGAUGGAAUCAUUAAGGCCACAGCAGAGAUUAAGUACUAUACAACCCAGAAGGCUAUGAAAUGCCUGUUGGGAGCUGCAGGUCCACGAGAUGAUGUGUACCAGAGUGACAUCGACAAACUUGAUGAUAUUCUCACAUCCACAUUCAAACAUGAGAUACCAUACUAUGAAUUCCAAUCUCUCCAAACUGAAAUCUGCCCUCAAAAGGAACAUUCUUAUUUCAAAGAACUUCCAACUCUUCUCCACUGUGCAGCAAAAUUUGGGUUAAAGAACUUGGCUGUUCAUUUGCUUCAAUGUUCAGGAGCAACCAGGGCAUCUAAGAUAAAAAAUUUGGAAGGUUCAGAUCCAGCACAUAUUGCUGAGAGGCAUGGUCACAAAGAACUCAAGAAAAUCUUUGAAGACUUUUCAAUCCAAGAAGUUAGCAGAGAUAAUGAGCAAGAAAAUCAUUAUGAAGAGAGUAUCACCUCAUUUUCUACAUGUUCUCCUACCGUACAGAGCCCAGCUCUCCACCAUAAAAGCUGGCCUUACAGGCAGAAGGCAGAAGAAGCCAAAGGGAAUGAAAUGGCAGAGGAAGAAAAAGAGCAUGAAUCAGGCAUGGAGGCAGAGCACAGCCCUCCAGAGGUUGACAGUGAAAGUGAGAACCAGUACGAUGACUUGUAUGUGUUCAUUCCUGGAGACAACCCUGAAGAUAAUUCCCAAGAGCCCCUCGUGUGCCCCAGACCACCUCUCCCCCCACCACGACCUGUAACCACUGCCUUCCAACCAGAAAAACCUCACUUCCCAGUACAAGGGAAAUUGCUGGAAGGCCAAAUGGAGAGAAGUCAAAGUUGGUGUGAUUUCAGUGCAAGAUAUGAAACAGGAAGUGAUUCUGAAGAAGAAAAGAAAGAAGAUGAAAAGGGCCGGGAAGAGGAGGAAGACCCAUACACUUUCGCUGAGAUUGAUGACAGUGAAUAUGACACAAUACUGGCCAGCAGGAGUAUAAAGAAAAAAGCUGGAAGUCGCUCAUUCAUUAUGAACAGACCUCCUGCCCCCACACCACGGCCCACAAGUAUCCCUCCGAAAGAGGAAACUACACCUUACAUAGCGCAAGUGUUUCAACAAAAGGCUGCCAGAAGACAAUCUGAUAGUGACAAGUUCCAUGGUCCUAAGAAACAAGACAGAGGUCGGAUGGAGAGUCAGACCUUCUCCACCGUAAGGAACUGCCUUGCUGCGGGACAGGAGGAACUCAUCCUGCUGCAAGAGAAAGUCAAGAAUGGGAAACUCUCUAUGGACGAAGCCCUGGAGAAGUUUAAACACUGGCAGAUGGGAAAGACUGGCCUGGAGAUAAUUCAGCAGGAAAAACUACGCCAACUACGAGAUUGCAUUGUUGGAAAAAGGCCAGAAGAAGAAAAUGUCUACAAUAAGCUCACCAUUGUGCACCAUCCAAAUGGUAACGAAAGUGCCCACAGUGAAAGUAUGUUACAUAACAUACCCUUUGGCAGUAAGCUUCCUGCUCGACCCCAGGUGGAAAAAGAUUUUAGUUUCUGUUGCAGGAAAGAUCACUAAAGAUG
rnacentral:lncRNA from 1 species